CUUCCUGUGUCCCUCCUCCUCUGGUGGGAUAGGCUAAAGGAGAUUAUGGUCAAAAGCAGUUCAUGGUGGAAGUAGGCUUUUGACUUGCGUAGCAAUGUCCAUACAGGAGCACAUCGUGCUGAGGUCAAAAGAGCAAAGACUGUAUUCCUGAAUACCAGGGAACUGAAUCCCAUUAUCCGUUGGACUUGGGUGGCAUCCAAAACAUUAUCACUAUGAAGCGCCUAAGCCUUAAAAGAAGGCCCAGAGGGGUUCUCAACGAUGUGGAAAAGACACAGAGUGGUGCUUCAAGUGGCCCGGUGCAUUCUGCCGAGUCCCUGUCAUUGCCUGGCAACGAUGGCACGAGAUUACUGGGCAUGUCUUCUUCGGCCAAAGGUCGACCUCCGUUACCUCCGCCACAUAGUUCCUUACUGGAUGACAGACGUUCCAAGGGUGGAGGUCCGGGCAACUCUCAGAGACACGCAGAACCAAAACCUCAACAAACUGAGAGAAACGCAGCUUCACAAAGACCAAGCCCUGGCGUAGAACAGACAGUCUUGGAGACUCAUAAAAACAUAAGCCAAUCUCCCCCUCAACCCCUUCCCCGUCGCCGACUAGCUAGUUUUGGAGGCAUAAGCCCUUCUGGGUCACACUCACCCUUCACAGGGCUGGGUGCAUAUAAUCAGAACAACAAUGGCAACAAGCCUGAUGAUGACAUGAGUGCCCACCUUACCUCAUCCCUCGGAAGUAGAGGCAGCACCGGGUGCCUGACGUUGAGCCCACAGAGUUCUGGCAGAAAUACUCCAGUUACAAGCCUUGGGUCUAUGCACCUACAACAUGUCCGUGAUCAGAUGGUGGUAGCUCUAAAAAAGCUAAAGGAGUUGGAGGAGCAGGUGAAAAUCAUUCCUAUUCUUCAAGUCAAAAUAUCUGUCCUUCAGGAAGAAAAGAGGCAGCUGGUCUCUCAGCUGAGUGACAGCAAGAGUUUAAACGACAUGACCUGGAAAACAUGUCUUGGAGAAGAUGGGAUUGACUUUGAGAAUAAACGGCACACUGAAACAGAGUCCAAAGGCACCAAUGAAAAUGUUUAUACUGACUUUAGAGAGUUCAGGGACCUCACUGAAGAGAUGCAGGCAUUGGAAAGAACCAUCAAAGGAGGACAUAUGCUUUCAUGGCAAGAAAAAGGGCAUAGUCUAUUGCACAAAAAUACUACUACCUCUAUUGGCAUUAAAACUGACAUUGAUACGAAAAUGGCUUCAUCUAAAACCUCAAAAGAGAACAAAUCUGUGCACACAGACCAAGUAGAAACCAGAUCCAUUGCAACAGAAGUGACUGAAGUCAGUCUUGGAAUUCACACAAAACAUGAAGCAGAGCUUGAAGCCCAGCAACUACUAAAUGCUGCCUUAAAGGAGAGGAUUUCCCAGUUAGAAACCGAGUUAAGAGAAUCAGCUCUUCAGACAGAGUUGACCCGUCUAAAACUGGAACUUCAGGCAGCAGGAGCAAGGAACCGUGUCGACAAGACCUGCUUUGCUAAGCCGCACACUGCAAGUGUAGGCACAACAGCAAGACCGUUCACUCAAAGUCAGGGAGUUGGCAAUCAUAAAGAGUUUCAAGAUGCCAGCACUGGUGAAGCAACAGAAACAAAAACUGUGGGGGUAUCUUGCAAGCCUAAAAUGACGGAUAUUUGUACAGGCCUGGAUGUUCCCAUGAGCCACUGGGAGAUUAGGGAGAGAGUGGAGACCAGUGAAAAAGCCGUUGGGAUACAAGUUUUCACAAGCACAGUGGGAGUUGGGACAGACAUAAAACUAUCUGAUGCCGAAAGCAACACAGAGCUACCACUAGAAAAGCUAGUGUUUCAGAAAGAAAAAGUGAAGUGUCAUUCUGUGGCUUGUGGGGCCUACUCUGUUGACUUGACUAUUUGCGAGUCAAAGGAAAUGAUUUCCCAAGGUAUUACCACAGAUUCAAUCAGAAGAGUCGAUCAGGGAAUACUGGCAUCGCCCCAAACGGCUUCCCAGCGUACCAAUACAGUAUCCAGUUCAGUGUCUCGCUUCACCAACACCAGUCAAACCUUCAGCAAUGACUCCAGCACAAACACACUUCUCAGCAAGCAUGACAAGCACACCAACACCAGCCACACGUUCACUCGGACCAUAUCAGUUGGCAGUGGGGUUGGAGGGAUUAUUUGCACAACGGAAACCCGCACAGUUGGUGUAAAUACAGCAAAUUCAGAGUGUUAUUCAAAACUACCACCAGACACAGUGAACAAGGCAACCAGAGACUGUGGUGUUGGGUUAACAAACAUUUAUGAGAAUUUCCUUGUGGGACUAAAAACACGCAACAUGGCCUCCGGACCAUCUCACAUUCCUGACCCUAUCAAGACAAGGAGCAUAGGUGUAGGCGACGGUAGGAUACGGGAUUUUUCUACGUCAUCUUGCGCACCUAAGCCAAAGUUCCAGCAGUCUUCACAAUUUCAGUGGGAUCACGAACUGAACCAUUACAUAGAGAAGAUGCACAGGCUCUUAAAGGAGAAUGGAGACCUUCUCACAGGGUACCAAAGUGACCAUUACCCCAGCUCCAAACCACUGAGCAAUUUCAAAAGUAUGACAGAAGGAGAGGCAGUUAUACAUCGAUUCACCUCUCAUCCAACAGAUUUGCUUUCCCCAUCUCAGCCUUUAAAUGUCUCCAAAGAACACUCAGAAGUCUCCCAACAAGAUGGUAAUGCAUCAGAGGUGAAGAAAAUGAUAAAAAUGUUAGAGCAACAAGCAGCCUCCGCAGUUCAAGACAGGUCAGCUAAUGCCUCUAAGCCAUGGUCUGCCAUGAAGAAACAGGGUGCUGACCAGUGCCACAGCAGCAACAGGAAAAGCAUGAAAUUUAUGAAGGUGUCUGCAGGAUUGGAGCCGACAUCCGCUUUCGAGCACGAGGAAAGAGAAGGGAGAGGAAGCGACACCUUUGGAAAGGUUUCCCAAGAUGGAUGGCAAGCAAAAAAAGGAAAAGAUGGCUCCAACAAAGGAUCAAAAGGCAGUUUGAAAUUGUCUAGACAACACAGAUGCAAUCUAAGUGAAAGGAUGUUUUCUGCGUGCCAAGAUUUAAAGAUGCACCUGAGCGAGCCCCCGGCCACGUCCAGCAGAGAAUUGCAGGAUUGCCUGCGCUCGCUCCAGCAAGAGUGGUUCUCCGUUUCCAGCCAGAAGUCGGCCGCUCCUGACACAGUAGGGGAGUACUUGUCCGCGUUCCGGAUGAUUUCACCCUCAGUGUUGCAACACGUAGUCAACAUGGCUGAUGGCAAUGGAAACACAGCGCUACACUACAGCGUGUCUCACUCCAACUUUGGUGUGGUCAAGAAAUUGCUUGAUGCAGAGGUGUGCAACGUGAAUCAGCAGAACGCAGCGGGUUACACUCCCGUGAUGCUGGCUGCGCUCGCCGCCGUGGAGCGUCCUGACGACAUGAGGGUGGUGGAGCAGCUCUUCUCUAAGGGAGACGUCAACGCCAAGGCCACCCAGGCCGGUCAGACGGCUCUCAUGCUAGCUGUGAGCCACGGCAGGCUGGACAUGGUUCGGGCUCUCCUGGCGCAGGGGGCAGAGGUCAACAUCCAGGACGACGAGGGCUCCACGGCGCUGAUGUGCGCCAGCGAGCACGGCCACGCCGACAUCGUCAAACUGCUGCUGGCGCAGCCCGACUGCGAUGCCACCCUGACUGACAGCGUGAGUCAUUUCCUCCAACAGCUGCUGUCAGCACGCUGGCUUCACGCUGAGAAGAAGAAGGUUCCCACAAAUCCUGUUAAAGUGACGAUGACAGCUCGGCCCUGUCCGUUGCUUUAGAAGCUGGUCACAACGACAUUGCCGUCCUGCUUUACGCCCACGCCAACUUCUCCCGAUGCACAGCGGGAGCAGCUCGACACAGCGGCAGGUUUCCCUCGUCCUCAGGAGGAUGGAGCAUCUUCGAAACCUGAAGGGAUUUUCAUAAUUUUUACUCUUAAAGCCCGAGCAACAAACCAACAGUGUUUUGUUUUUUUUAAAUCUAUUGGCACAUUGAUAUAUAUAUAUUUUUGACUGUGGAUAUUUGCACUACUUAUCAGCAUGGCAACGUAGUUAACAAUUUGUCACAAUAGAUUAGAUCAGUUUCAAUCAAUAUGAUUAAGUAUUUGUAUUUUCUUUUUAGAAAAUAUUUACUUUAACAUAAUGCAACUUUUAUCGGAUGGCAUGAAAUUAUUUAAAGCAUUUGUUAUCACAUACUAAAAUUAGCAUCUUUUCCUAUUCUCAUAUUAUUUAAACAUGAUACCAGAGCCACAUGAUUAUAAGUUAUACAUUUGUUGUUGUUGUUUAAAAUGUAAUUUUGUGUUUCAUUUGUUAUAUUAUUAAAUCUAUAACACGAAUUUUG